GGAUGUGAGGACGAUUUGGCUGCGACAUCUGUCACCCCAUUGAUCGCCAGGGUUGAUUCGGCUGAUCUGGCUGGCUAGGCGGGUGUCCCCUUCCUCCCUCACCACUCCAUGUGUGUCCCUCCCGAAGCUGCGCGCUCGGUCGAAGAGGACGACCAUCCCCGCUAGAGGAGGACCGGUCUUCGGUCAAGGGUAUACGAGUAGCUGCGCUCCCCUGCUAGAACCUCCAAACAAGCUCUCAAGGUCCAUUUACCAGGCCAUUUAGCAAAGAGCUGAUUUGUGAAGUGUAGCAGCCAAAACUAGAACCUGCGCACAUCUGGGAGGCCAUAGCUGCUGAUGAAAGAUUGGCCUGUAUGCCACUGCAC
rnacentral:snRNA from 1 species